GAUGAACGCUGGCGGCGUGCUUAACACAUGCAAGUCGAACGAUGAACCUCACUUGUGGGGGGAUUAGUGGCGAACGGGUGAGUAACACGUGAGUAACCUGCCCUUGACUCUGGGAUAAGCCUGGGAAACCGGGUCUAAUACUGGAUACGACCUUCUGGCGCAUGCCAUGUUGGUGGAAAGCUUUUGCGGUUUUGGAUGGACUCGCGGCCUAUCAGCUUGUUGGUGGGGUAAUGGCCUACCAAGGCGACGACGGGUAGCCGGCCUGAGAGGGUGACCGGCCACACUGGGACUGAGACACGGCCCAGACUCCUACGGGAGGCAGCAGUGGGGAAUAUUGCACAAUGGGCGCAAGCCUGAUGCAGCGACGCCGCGUGAGGGAUGAAGGCCUUCGGGUUGUAAACCUCUUUCAGUAGGGAAGAAGCCGGCCUUUCGGGGUUGGUGACGGUA
rnacentral:rRNA from 1 species